GCACCCGCGGUAAUUCCAGCACCAAUAGCGUAUAUUAAUGCUGCUGCUGUUAAAAAGCUCGUAGUUGGAUCAAGAGUUCGACAGUGCACGGUGGCCCUGUUUGUCAUAGUGGUUCCGAUCACUGUGGCGGCAGCGGAUCAACCCCGUGCGCCAAACUGUCCGCUCUAACAGACCGAAGCGGUUCCCUGUGAGUAGGCUCCUUCAUUGGGGCUGAAAGCGCUUACGCAUUAACCAUAUGCAUACGGGACGUCGGUCAAUGUUACUGUGAACAAACCAGCGUGUCCAAAACAGGCUUUCGCCUGAAUGUUCGAGCAUGGAAUAACAAGGGAUCGAUUCUCUCGGUUCUUUUUGUUGGUUUUUAACCCGAGAAGGAGUAAUUCAGGCCACGGUGUCUGAGUUGGGUUUCCCUUCACCUCGGUGGAGGCCCCAAUUAGGCCGUGUCCUUACGGGAUAAAUAGGGACUGACGGGGUCGUACGUACUUCCACGUCAGAGGUGAAAUUCUUAGAUCGUGGGAAGACGAACUUCUGCGAAAGCAUUCGACAAGAAUGUCUUCAUUAAUCAAGAACGAGAGUGUGGGGAUCGAAGAUGAUCAGAUACCGUCGUAGUCCACUACUGUAAACAAUGCCGUCUCAGGAUUGAGAAGUGAACAGAAUGACUUUCACAGCACUAACCCCUGAAACGAGAAAUCAAAGAUUAUGGGUUCAGGGGGGAGUACAUUCGCAAGGCUGAAACUUAAAGGAAUUGACGGAAUGACACCACAAGGCGUGGAGUAUGCGGCUUAAUUUGACUCAACACGGGGAAUUUUACUAGGUCAGGACAAUGUAAGGAUUGACAGAUUGAGAGCUCUUUCUCGAUCCAUUGUGUGGUGGUGCAUGGCCGCUCCUGGUUGGUGGAGUGAUUUGUCUGGUUGAUUCCGUUAACGAACGAGAUCUCGACCCUUAAAUAGGUGCCCGUGUCGAUCUGUAGUUUCAUCACCGCUCGCUUGCGAGAUUGGUGUGGGGCGAGACUGCGGGAAUACUUCUUAAGGGGACUGUGUGCGUCUCUAGCACGCGGAAGAGCGAGCCAAUAGCAGGUCUGUGAUGCUCCUAAAUGUCCUAGGCUGCACGCGCACUACACUGAUGCAAUAAACGAGUCUGAGUGCCUUCUGGCAACCUACCUGGAAGCGGGUGGGAAAUCUUUUGAACUUGCAUCGUGAUGAG
rnacentral:rRNA from 1 species